CUCCUGACCUCGUGAUCUGUCUGCCUUGGCUUCCCAAAGUGCUGGGAUUACACAUGUGAGCCACCACACCCAGCUUAAUUUCAGGGUAAUUUUCUGUUGGAUGUGAAAUUAUGGUAAAAUUGCACACAUUAAGAUGACCACAGCCACCAGUUGUUGAAACCAUUUUUUAUACUAGAAGCUUUACAAUUCUCAUCUCCAAGCCUAAAUACAUGACCCCCAAGAUAGGCAUCUCCUCUCUUAGGGAGAAAGACUCACAAAGAGAAGUAACUUAGGUAAGGACAUACAGUGCAUACGUGGUUGUGGUAGGAGCAAAACAGAUGUUAAUUCCCAAUAUUAUACUCUUUCGCAGGCCAUGAAGAGUACCUAGGCCUGGCGCUGUCACCCAGGCUGGAGAGUGGUGGCACCAUCAUAGCUCACUGCAGCCUUAAACUCCUGGGCUCAAGUGAUAUUCUGAAUAGCCGGGAAGACAGGAAGGCACCGUCAUGACCAGCUAAUUUAUUUAUUUAUUUAUUUAUAGAGACAGGAUCUCCCUAUGCUGUUGAGGCUGGUCUUGAACUCCUGGCCUCUAGUGAUCCUCCUGCCUUGGCCUCCCAAAGGGCUGAGAUCACAGGCAUGAGCCGUCAUGUCAGGCCUCCACCAUGUUUUUCAGAGGCCAUUCUUGGUGAGGCUGCUUAAUUUAGUUAAUGCUUGAAAGUGAGCAAAACCCAACCUGCUCAAAAUUAUACAGAUAUUCUUUGGAUGGCUUUGUUAGGGGAAUGGAAAACACCUUUUUAUGGUGAGAGGGUCAAGGUGGCAAUAAUGAUAUUCAGGCUUAAUACCAAUGCGAUGGGGUGCAUUUCCCCCCAGUAGAGUUGGUAUUUAAUUAUAAGAUAAAAUUGAAAAUGUCUUUUCUGUAUUCCUGAAUCCCCAGGCCUUGAAUGAAGAAAGACUAUUUCUCAGGCUGGUUUGUGUUUUUUUUUCUACUUCUUUGGGCAUCUUCUGUUGUCCUAAGACAUGUUUGCAAACUGAAAUUGAUUUUCACUCAACCUAAAAUAAGCUCCACAGCACUGGGUGUUGGCCUUAGCGUGACUAAGUCCCCACCCCCACAUAGUACUGCCACACACCAAGAGUGAUUUAUCGUCUUAGUCACAGGUUGUGGCUUCUGCAGGGCCUGGCGCAUCCUCAGACUGGGCUGAUGCGAAGGCUGUGUCCUUUCUCCCUGUGGUGAGGUGAACAUCAGUGCAGCAUUUAUAGAAAGUCCACAUAAAUUGCGUGAGUGUAAACCUUGCCAGUCGCAGUGAGAAUAACUAGCGUUUAGUGACUCCUUGUUCUGUGGCCCUCAGUGGUCCUGGCCACUAACUUAUCCCCGCUUUGCCCAUGAGCAAGGGAAGCCCCAUGUGCACCGGCUUCCCUGAGUCCCCAGAGCUCCGUGGUGGGGCUGGCCUGUGGCUGCAGCAGGGAUACUCGAGGCUGCGUGCAUCUGUGCCUUCGCUGGUGUCCUUCCCGCGCCCAGCACCAUGCCUGGUGCUUGGCAGGAAUGCAGGUGUUUGCUGCCUGCCUCUAGCCUGGAGUCUCCACCAAGGAGCAGGAAAGCAGGGGUUCUAGCUGUCUUCUUUAUUCAUGAAGUCCUUUAGAUGAAUUCAGCCCUCACUAAUCAAAAGUACCUUGUGAUCCUCAGGUCAAUGUGUGUAAGCUGUUAAGACUUCAAGAUUAGAGCCUUAAAACCGUAGUCAGAAGUGUGAGGUUUCAGCUGACUUGACAUGCAUUAGGUCAAUGCCACACAUAUUUAUUGGACAGCGGGCUGGAGCCCUACAUGGGUGCCUUUGGUGUCUGAAGCUCUGCUGGCUGUAGAGCCCAGUGAGGUGGGAGGGGACUUGGAGAAUAGUGCCAUUCUCCUCAGCCCUUCCCUCACCAUCCUGAGCACACACGUUCUUUAAGGGGAUCUUUUCAGUGUAAAGGGCAGUCAUUAAUUCUG